rnacentral:rRNA from 1 species
GGGUUUGAUUAUGGCUCAGAUUGAACGCUGGCGGCAUGCUUUACACAUGCAAGUCGAACGGCAGCACGGGGGCAACCCUGGUGGCGAGUGGCGAACGGGUGAGUAAUAUAUCGGAACGUACCCGGAAAUGGGGGAUAACGUAGCGAAAGUUACGCUAAUACCGCAUAUGCCCUAAGGGGGAAAGCGGGGGAUUCGCAAGAACCUCGCGUUUUCGGAGCGGCCGAUAUCGGAUUAGCUAGUAGGUGAGGUAAAGGCUCACCUAGGCGACGAUCCGUAGCUGGUCUGAGAGGACGACCAGCCACACUGGAACUGAGACACGGUCCAGACUCCUACGGGAGGCAGCAGUGGGGAAUUUUGGACAAUGGGCGCAAGCCUGAUCCAGCCAUGCCGCGUGAGUGAAGAAGGCCUUCGGGUUGUAAAGCUCUUUCAGCCGGAAAGAAAACGCACGGGAUAAUACCCUGUGUGGAUGACGGUACCGGAAGAAGAAGCACCGGCUAACUACGUGCCAGCAGCCGCGGUAAUACGUAGGGUGCGAGCGUUAAUCGGAAUUACUGGGCGUAAAGCGUGCGCAGGCGGUUUUGUAAGACAGAUG